rnacentral:rRNA from 1 species
AGCCUACAACGAGUGGUGGAGCAUGUGGUUUAAUUCGAAGAUACGCGCAGAACCUUACCAACACUUGACAUGUUCGUCGCGACUCUAAGAGAUUAGAGUUUUCGGUUCGGCCGGACGAAACACAGGUGCUGCAUGGCUGUCGUCAGCUCGUGUCGUGAGAUGUUGGGUUAAGUCCCGCAACGAGCGCAACCCUCACUUUUAGUUGCCAUCAUUAAGUUGGGCACUCUGAAAGAACUGCCAGUGAUAAGCUGGAGGAAGGUGGGGAUGACGUCAAGUCCUCAUGGCCCUUACGUGUUGGGCUACACACGUGCUACAAUGGUAUCUACAACAGGAAGCAAGACUGCGAAGUUAAGCAAAUCCCUAAAAGAUACCUCAGUUCGGAUUGCACUCUGCAACUCGAGUGCAUGAAGCUGGAAUU